CGGAGGGGUUAGGCGUUGUUCGGAAUGACUGGGCGUAAAGACGCGCGUAGGCGGAUCGGUAAGUUGGGGGUGGAAAGACCCACGGGCUCAACCCUGGAACGGCCUUCAAGACUCCCGGUCUGGAGUUCGAGAGAGGUGGGUGGAAUUCCGAGUGUAGAGGUGAAAUUCGUAGAUAUUCGGAGGAACACCAGUGGCGAAGGCGGCCCACUGGCUCGACACUGACGCUGAGGCGCGAAAGCGUGGGGAGCAAACAGGAUU
rnacentral:rRNA from 1 species